UUCAGUGUCUGAGAAGUAAAAUGAAGCCUUCAGAGCAACAGGGAAAGACUGGUCCUUGGGGAAUGCCAGCAAUGUAUAGUGGGGGAGAUAAGGAAGGAUAAAACCACUGCAAAUAAAUAAGGCACCCUGGGGCUGAGUGCAGCUCAGUGGUAGAGCACGAGUUUAGCACAGAGAUCCCUGGGAUCACUCCUAAGCAUUCAGGGGUGACAUUGCCCAGCAGCUGAGAACUGAACUGUGACUCCCAGAGGACAUCUGCGCUGUUCUGAGCUGGGGAGCUACGGUGUGGCUUCUGUAUCGCUGUGCGACACUCUCCAGAUGCCAUGAUUCUUUGCCACACAGAUGUUCUCUCAGCACCAGGCCAGCAGUACAGAGGGACAGGAAGUACUUUUCCUUCUUCCUGGGAACCUGUGACAGCUAAUCUUGACUGUCGAUAUGACAGGCUUGGAGCAGGGAAACCUUAGAAUUGUCUUCAUCAGAUUGGCCUGUGGGCACAUCUGUGGGGCGUUUUCUUGAUUGUUAAUUGAUGUAGGAGGUCCCAGCCUGCUAUGGGCAGUAGCAUCCUUAGGCAGAUGGGCCUUGGCUAUUUAGGAAGGGUAGAUGAGAAUGAGCCAGAGCACAAGCUGGUCAUCAACACGGCUCUAUGUCUUCUGCUCCAAGCUCUUGCCUUGAGUUACUGCCCUGAUGUCCCUCAGUGAUGGAUUGUGACUUGCAAGUGUACAAGUGUACACUGAAAUAAACCCUUUCCUCCCUAA